rnacentral:rRNA from 1 species
UACGUAGGUGGCAAGCGUUGUCCGGAUUUAUUGGGCGUAAAGAGCUCGUGGGCGGUCUGUCGCGUCUGCUGUGAAAACUCAGGGCUUAACCCUGAGCUUGCAGUGGGUACGGGCAGACUAGAGUGCGGUAGGGGAGACUGGAAUUCCUGGUGUAGCGGUGAAAUGCGCAGAUAUCAGGAGGAACACCGGUGGCGAAGGCGGGUCUCUGGGCCGUAACUGACGCUGAGGAGCGAAAGCAUGGGGAGCGAACCGG